rnacentral:rRNA from 1 species
GUGUAUGGCCAUGCCACCCUGAACAAGCCCAAUCCCGUUUGAUCUUGGAAGAUAAGCAGGGUCAGGCCUGGUUAGUACUUGGAUGGGAGACCACCUAGGAAGACCAGGUGUUGUAGGCA